UGGCAGCUCCAAAAGGCUGUCUGGCCUCCAUAGCAUACCUAGCGCCUCUAAGCCUCUGCUGCCCAUUCCACAAGCAAAGCCCCAACUACUACCAUAUGGCUUAAAUCCCAUUUGGGCUUUGUGGCCCUUUUAAUCUGAUCCCUGCAAUGCUGAGUACCCACAGAAACGAAGCUGUGUAUGAAGUGAUAAGGGCUCCUCACCACCAGCUAAGUGCAGAUUCACACAUCUACGGAUGGCACCCCCAAUUCCUCCAUGGGUGAAGCUAUCAGGAAAAAGCGAGUCAGACCUGCUCCAGCACACAGCAGUUCGUGGGGAAGGAGGCACCCAGACCCCUAAGUACCACAGCCUGUCCUAGGACUAACCUUGAUGUCCCUAAUGCAGUACUAGAGCAGUCUAGCUGCAGGGGUCUGUGUGUGUGUCUGGAUAUUUGAAGUGUGGAUGGCAGAUGGCAGCAAACACUACGAUAAACUUGCUGAAUGUCAGGGUACAUUCAAGUGUCACUAGGAUGCAUGCAACCUGUGUGUUAGAGUGGGGGGGGGAUGUAGCUCUUAAUAACAGAUUUGUGGGAGCGCAUGUGUGACUCAGUUUCCAUCUGGAGUCAUUUCUAACUUGAAGUCAUUUGAGUUCAAGCUUGCCUACUCUGCUUCUCCCAGUAACUUUGAGUCAGGCUGUGUUAACCCAUAGAAAGAUCAUUUUUGCCCAGCUGAAAGAGCACACUUUUUUCUACUAAGAUUUGGGCUGGUGUGUGCCAGCCAGAGGCACUCCUCGUUAGAGAUUAGAAGUUGCUUAGCUGAAUAAGAUAAUGCACCUGCUUGAACUUCCUCCCAGGGACAGUGCAGGGAGGUGGUCAGCUGGCUGUACUGCUCUUUGUUCUGCUUUUUGCCUGUAGUAUAUAUGAUGCCUGAGAAAUAAACUCGGGGCUGUUUGGUAUUAGCUUUCGGUCCUCCAGGUCUAUCCUAUGUUUCUGUCUUCAUUUCUCUUCAUCAAACAUUUCCUCAGCUCAGCGUUCCCUCCAAAGGAACCCCCAGCAGAUUUUGACCGGAGUGGACUCUGACAGAGUGGUGCCAAGUAUGGNGGGGGGGGGGGGGGGGGGGGGGGGGGGGGGGGGGGGGGGGGGGGGGGGGGGGGGGGGGGGGGAACGACAGGACACCAACGUGACGGUCGCCGUGGGGUGAAAGAGGGCACUCAGUAAAAGGGAGUUAGUUCUAUGGCGAGCCUCACCGGGAGCCCUGCGAUGUAAAUACAAAGACAUGAGGCAGGCUGCUCUAGCCUCCUGUGCAUUUUUAUUGCAUAAGUUCCAAAACUUUGGGUUCUGAAGAAAAACUUCUCAACGGAGAAGUACGGCAAGGGCCACCCCACUCCUUCAAGGCGGUGUGUGCACAGGCUGAGCUGGGCAGAGCAGCGACUCUGGAAAGACAUGCUCAUGCGUACGGGGCGGCAGACCACUGACUGCUUGCAGUUGAAAAACUGCAUGAAUGUGAAACAGAGAAUCUGAAAUUGUGGCUGGAGAAGUUAUCAAAUUAUUUUUCAGGAAUCCUGGCAAUCAAGGAUACUCUGUGCCCACCAGCGCUGCUCCUCUUUUCUUUUCUAAGCCAAGUUCUUCUUCACUGUGAUAACACUCAAGGUCUCUUCUGCUGGCCAGCAGUUUCUCAUCUUAACUCUUCUCUGUCCUGAUACUGCUUGAAAAAAAAUGUUGACUCAUAACAACCAGUACACUUUGGGAAGCGUUGAUUUUAAACUAAAAGUCAAAGAUGCACAAUGUUUGGGGGGAAAAUGUGCUUUCGUUUCCACAGGAAAAAAAAUAUGGGUUUUAGUUAUUUAGAUCUGAUGGGUUACAAAUAUUUGUCAUCGGGAUUAAGAUAAAGAAAACUGCUAGUUUCAAAAGUUUCACACUGGUACAGGUUUUUAUAUAUCAAUGUAUAUUUAAGUUAUUCUUAUUGUGAUACAUACAUACAUAAAUAUAUAUAUUAUAUUUUGGCUCUUGUUUGAAAUGUUAUCUAUGCAAUAUUCUGGACCACUGAAAGAAAUCAGAAGGAGGCAUUGAUGGAGAUUUGCAUGCUGUCUGAAGGAUAAGGGCACAAACAAGAGAGUGAAAUAAAGUAGGGAAAUGAAUUUGUCUAUGAGCAAUGCUGAGUUUAAAAGAAAACUAUAAAAACGCUGGAGAUUUUACCAUGUUAAUUCUGGUUGAUUUUCUUCAUUAGCGAGGCUGGUAUUCGUCACUGCAGAGUAGUUAUGCUAAUAAUGGGAUCGUGUUCUCUAAAGAAGGAAGACUGAGGUCCUAAAUACAAGUAUUAAUUAAUCAUCAUAUUGCAACCCUCUGAGUUAUAUGGUUUUAUAUGAUUGACCUCCCAUGAAAUGACAAGCUAAAGCUCUUGUCUAUUCGGACUUCCAUAGAGAAGUUCAGACAUAUUUCUUAAAAACUGUCAACAUUAUGUCUAUGAUCCAUGAAUGGAAACUGCAGUCUAACUGCUCCUAUGAUGGUUAAUAAUAGGACAAAAUGUUUAUGAGUCUAUAUUAAUUCUGAGGGUCUAAAAUAUAUAAAGGCCUGAGGACAUCAAUACAGGUUAGAAGGCUCUGAAGGCAUAAAAGCUUGGAUUAUAUGGAUCUGAGAGGAUAUUCUCAAAAAUAUAGAUACAAUUUGUAAGAAAUAAUGGCUUAAGAUGUAUAUAGAAAUUAUUACAAGAUUUCUUUCCCCUUCCACAGUUAUUAUACUAGGACUACAAAACUUCGGAAUUUAACAUUAAUAGUGUUCUGACAAGCUAAUAGAGCAACGACUGCUUACUGUUUGGGUCACAAGCUCAAGAUUUUAAAUUUCUUUUGGUUGUCUUCUGAACAUAGGUUAUAUGCUGUUUAGCCCAAAUCUAUAGUAUUUGCUAGGACUCAAGGAUGGAGUUUGUUCCUGUUGUUUUAUGGAUACCUAUUGCCUGCUUUGUCUACACUAUGGAUUUCAGUACAGAUUGAUAACGCUAAUAUAUCGAAAACUUUUAUACUUUUCUUUUUAUAAAAUGGAGAUUCAUACAAACUUCAGAAAAUGGAGAGAAUUAUAAAACUUGGAGCCACUUCUCACAAGGUAAAAGGAUUAUGGUAUUUUUCUCUCUCUCCUGGUCUUGGGACUCUUCCCCUUCCUUAAUUAUUGAGACUAUGCAUUUACAAUUUUCAAAUGAGUCCAUGAAUUUAACUUCUGUUCCCAGUCUGUAUCUGUCUCACCAGGUUCCCACUUGGGAGACAAACACACCCAAGCAUCAAUCAACAACCUGCUCCAAAUGACUACGAGUCCUGAACUUGCUAAAACCUGACGUGGACCAAUCCAGCCAAUGUGAUUGCUGUCUUUUCAGGUUGUCUAUGAACCAGAUGCUUCUAAGUUCCCCAUUACCUUUGACUAACAUUCUGGCCUUCCAGGGCCCUGAGAACAAUGUCCUAAGAUUAGCAGAAAGUAAUUACAGAAAUGAAUACAUCAUCCCUGUUCCCUCUCUGGAAUAUUAGAUAAAAAGGGAAUUUCUCUGACAAUCAUCACAGGGAUUUUGGUCACUGACGCAUUGUAUAAAUGGUAAUUCCUGUCUGGGUGCCAUUAAACUAAUGAUGCUAAAACCCCAACAUCAGCUUCUGGAACAAACUCAUCUCAGGGAUUUGAGACGAUGUACUAUGCAGGGGAAAGGACUUUGAAAGGGCACACGGGAGUCUUAAGGCUCAAUUAAAAAAUAGAAAAGCCGGGCGGUGGUGGCACGCCUUUAAUCCCAGCACUUGGGAGGCAGAGAGGCAGGGGGAUCUCUGUGAGUUCAAGGCCAGCCUGGUCUACAAGAGCUAGUUCCAGGACAGGAACCAAAAAGCUACGGAGAAACCCUGUCUCGAAAAAAAUAAAAAACAAACAAACAAACAAACAAACAUAAUAGAAAAGAGGGUGUUAGGGCUAUACCCAGUUACCAUGUAUGCAUUUUAUUUUAAAAUUUAAACUUUUAAAAUGUGGUUGUCUGCGAGCAAUCUGUCAUGAAUAGACUUCGGCAGGAAAGCACCACCACAUCAUUUGCUCAAGACUAAUCAAUACUUCACCCCCUCAACGGUAACCUCCAUGCACAAAGUAACUGAGAGAGUCUAACAGAACUUUAGAGUGGAGAUGACGGACUGGCAUUAACCCAUUAAAGUGCAACAUCACAGGGACAUCACGGUACAUUCCAGACUGAUCUGGAAAUCAAGCGGACUAUAGUGAUUCUUAUCGUUUGUCUGCAGCAGAAUCUUGAGACCAAGGAAUGUGAACUGGAAUCUGGUAUUCCAGUAUAAAAUUUCCACAGACUUACAUUUGGAAACUUGCUGCUGCCACGGGAAAAGUGGCAGGACAAUCCAGUUCUUCAAAACCUGUUUGCCCCUGAAAGGAACUGUUUGGCUUGUGUUAAAGUGCCUUAUUGUUUGGCUUGUGUUAAAGUGCAUUGUGUUAAACGUUCCUUUGGUGGGAGAGGUAAAAAUCUCCAUGAAUGUUGCUUAAUGUAUCAUGUCUUGAA